rnacentral:lncRNA from 1 species
GAAUCAAAUUUAUAUAUAAAAAUGAAUAAUGAAAUAGUUUACUAACUCAACUAGACAAACUUAAAAAAACUAGCGCAUUAACUAUAAUCGCCAAUUCGAUGUUACAAUUAUUAACAUUUUACCUACGACUACUGUAACUUCUUUUUCGAUACAACAAAUACGAGCAUUUGUGCAUUACUUGUUGAUAUACAGCUGAAUUUCUUCUAAGCUUUUUCCUUUCGUCUCGGGUACUAAUUUCGCUACAAAGAUAACUGUGAGAACACAGAAUCCCGAAAACAACCAAAAUGUACCUACAUUAAAACAAAACAGACCAGUCUCUUUUAGAUCAAGAAAAUAAAAGGAGAUUUAUACACUAAACCAGAAAGAACGUCGAAUAAGUACCAGCAGGACUCCAGUUAAUGAGAAAGUUAAAACUGUAUGAAACCACCCACGCGCCAAACCAAUUUACUAGCACGGCUACGCUCCCUGCCGCACCUUUUAUGUGCAAUGGGAAUAUCUGUGAACCACAUGGAACAUGUUAAACUAGACCGUUGUGAGGUCAAAACUUGAAAAAGGGUAUGGUGUAAGUUAACCAUGGUUACCUCAGACAUGAUCAACCAAGGUACAGCGCCCAUCCCGAUUGAAAACGAUGCUAUGAAUAUUAGAACACCCGAAACAGCAAGAAGUGGGACCCAUUCAAGGAAAAUUGCUUGACCCUUGAAGAAAAAUGAAGUUCCAGCAAGAAAACAGCCAAGAAAUGUCCCUGAUGAAGAUACCUUAAUAAAACAGGAAGAAAAACAGUUAGUAUUCACGAAACAUGAGUUCUGUUUUGACUUUUUGAAAGUCAAGGGAGGUACCAGAAGGAGAGCCCUUCUUCCUGAUUUGUCCAUUAAAACCACACCGAGCAUCGUUACAGGAAUCUGGAUUUAACAAUGACGAUAUUAGCGAGAUGUUAAUAAAUUGAAUGAAAAAUGGGUCAGAUCAUACAAACCUGAAUCAAGGCAUAAGCAACGGUUCCAGCUUUACCUGAUGCAAGUCCUAACGUACUAG